GCCCGGCUGGCUUAGUAGAGCUUGUGACUCUUGAUCUCAGGGUCAUGAGUUCAGGCCCCAUGUUGGGCA
rfam:Ailuropoda melanoleuca scaffold3301_8, whole genome shotgun sequence.